rnacentral:rRNA from 1 species
AUAGAGAGACAUGCGCGCAUAUCAAUAAGCGGAGGAAAAGAAACUAACAAGGAUUCCCCUAGUAACGGCGAGUGAAGCGGGAAGAGCUCAAAUUUGAAAUCUUAAAGGGUUUCCCUUUACGAAUUGUAGUUUAAAGAAGUGUUUUCUGUUGAGGUUUUGGUAAAAGUUCUUUGGAAUAGGACAUCAUAGAGGGUGAGAAUCCCGUAUUUGACCUUUACUUUCAACUUUGUGAUACACUUUCAAAGAGUCGGAUUGUUUGGGAAUGCAGUCCAAAAUGGGUGGUAAAUUUCAUCUAAAGCUAAAUAUUGGCGAGAGACCGAUAGCGAACAAGUACCGUGAGGGAAAGAUGAAAAGGACUUUGAAAAGAGAGUUAAACAGUACGUGAAAUUGUCAAAAGGGAAGCGUUUGACACCAGUGUUGUUUUUCUGAAAAUCAAUUAAAGAACUGUUUAUGCUAAGUUGUUUAGACUUUAUCAGCUAACUGUUUAGUUUUGAGCUUUUCUUUAAUGCACUUUUCAGUUAACAAGUCAACAUCAAUUUCUUUUGCUGUAAAAAAGCUUGAGGAAGGUGGCUUGAGAUUCGUCUUAAGUGUUUAUAGCCUCUUGCCUAUGCAGUCGGAGAGAUUGAGGUCUGCAGCGUAGAUCCUUCGGGGCUAAAUGCAUUUGUGCUAAGUUAUAGCAUUUUAUAGACAACUUGUUGACUAUGAUUUGUCUUGUAGCUUACUCGCUUAUGUUAUUUUACCUACGCUUAGGAUGUUGACGCAUGAGAUAUACGC